rnacentral:rRNA from 1 species
UACGUAGGUGGCGAGCGUUAUCCGGAAUCAUUGGGCGUAAAGAGGGAGCAGGCGGCAGCAAGGGUCUGCGGUGAAAGACCGAAGCUAAACUUCGGUAAGCCGUGGAAACCGGGCAGCUAGAGAGCAUCAGAGGAUCGCGGAAUUCCAUGUGUAGCGGUGAAAUGCGUAGAUAUCACGCAGAACCCCGAUUGCGAAGGCAGCAUACCGGUGCACAACUGACGCUCAGGCACGAAAGCGUGGGUAUCGAACAGG